AACGCGAAGAACCUUACCUGGGCUUGACAUGCUUGGAUUACCUCCAUGAAAGUGGAGUAGGCCCCGCAAGGGGAACAACAAGUACAGGUGCUGCAUGGCUGUCGUCAGCUCGUGUCGUGAGAUGUCGGGUUAAGUCCCUUAACGAGCGAAACCUUUGCCCUUAGUUACCAGCGGGUUAUGCCGGGGACUCUAAGGGGACUGCCGGUGUCAAACCGGAGGAAGGUGGAGAUGACGUCAAGUCCUCAUGGCCUUUAUGCCCAGGGCCACACACGUGCUACAAUGGGGUGCACAGAGCGAACCUAGAGCGCAAGCUGGAGGAAAUCGCAGAAAUCACCCCCCAGUUCAGAUUGGAGGCUGCAACCCGCCUCCAUGAAGUUGGAAUCGCUAGUAAUCGCGGAUCAGCUACGCCGCGGUGAAUGUGUUCCCGGGCCUUGUACACACCGCUCGCGA
rnacentral:rRNA from 1 species